UUCCAAAGCUCCGGAUGUUGGAUGGGUCUCGGAGCUGUUGAAGUGAGGUGAGCCAAGUGGCUCGUAUAAUUGUUUAAUUAUUUAUUCGGCAAAGUCUAUUUUGGUUUCCCCUCUCAUUGUAAAUAGUGGUUAAAAGAACUGAGGUAAGCUGGGAAUUAAUUAGGCUUCUGUGUCAGCAAAUUGAAAAUUCUGUUAAAUGUAUAUAUUUAAUUAAAAGAAAUUAUUGAAGAAGAAGAAUCUAACCUCUGGGCGACGAGAAUUCCUUGGAGAAUUAUCGAAGAGCAGAAUGAGAAUUCACAAGGCAAUCGAAGGUGGAAGGAGAAAUUGUAUACGGGCUGGGGCAGAAAAUGGAUUAUUCCCAUAUGUCCUUUUUGUUUAAGAGGUUUGUUAUCUUGUUAUUAGUAAGCGUUGAAG
rnacentral:lncRNA from 1 species